rnacentral:rRNA from 1 species
CGGCAACAGCUCAAAUUUGAAAUCUGGCUCUUUCAGGGUCCGAGUUGUAAUUUGCAGAAGAUGCUUUGGGUGAGGCACCGGUCCAAGUUCCUUGGAACAGGACGUCAUAGAGGGUGAGAAUCCCGUACGUGAUUGGUACCUUUGCUCGUGUAAAGCUCUUUCGAC